rnacentral:rRNA from 1 species
UACGUAGGUGGCAAGCGUUGUCCGGAUUUACUGGGCGUAAAGAGCGCGCAGGCGGUCGUUCAAGUCGCGUGUGAAAGCCCCCGGCUCAACUGGGGAGGGUCACGCGAUACUGAUCGACUCGAAGGCAGGAGAGGGUAGUGGAAUUCCCGGUGUAGUGGUGAAAUGCGUAGAUAUCGGAAGGAACGCCGGUGGCGAAAGCGGCGCACUGGAUCUCCACUGACGCUGAGGCGCGAAAGCCAGGGGAGCAAACGGG